UCUCCCAGUCAUAAAUAAUUAAUGUGUAGUAAAUAAAUACAAAAUAAUAAAUAAUGUUUUCAUUAGAAUAAUAGUAUACUGUAUACUUCUUCUAGUUUCUGUUUUGUUCUUGCUGUUUUUCCUGUCUUUGUUC
rnacentral:ribozyme from 14 species